rnacentral:rRNA from 1 species
CAGUCGCCGCGGUAACACGUAGGGUGCGAGCGUUAAUCGGAAUUACUGGGCGUAAAGCGUGCGCAGGCGGUUGUGUAAGACAGGUGUGAAAUCCCCGGGCUUAACCUGGGAACUGCGCUUGUGACUGCACAGCUAGAGUAUGGCAGAGGGGGGUGGAAUUCCACGUGUAGCGGUGAAAUGCGUAGAGAUGUGGAGGAACACCGAUGGCGAAGGCAGCCCCCUGGGCCAAUACUGACGCUCAUGCACGAAAGCGUGGGGAGCAAACAGGAUUAGAGACCCGUGUAGUCCCUGUCUCUUAUAC